rnacentral:rRNA from 1 species
GACGAACGCUGGCGGCGUGCUUAACACAUGCAAGUCGAACGGCAAGGCCCUGCUUUUUUGCUCUUCUCGAUUGGCUAACGGGUGAGUAACACGUGUGUAACCUGCCCUUCACUUUCGUAUAACUUCAGGAAACUGGGGCUAAUACCGUAUAGCAUCUCCUGCUGCGUUGUGGGGGUUGGAACUUUUAGGCGGUUGGGGAUGGACUCGCGGCUUAUCAGCUUGUUGGUUGGGUAGUGGCUUACCAAGGCUUUGACGGGUAGCCGGCAUGAGAGGGUGACCGGCCACAUUGGGACUGAGAUACGGACCAGACUCCUACGGGAGGCAGCAGGGGGGAAUAUUGCACAAUGGGCGGAAGCCGGAUGCAGCAACGCCGCGUGCGGGAUGACGGCCUUCGGGUUGUAAACAGCUUUAGCCUGUGACGAAGCGUGAGUGACGGUAAUGGGUAAAGAAGCACCGGCUAACUACGUG